GCCAAACUGGCUCAGUCAGUAGAGCAUGUGACUCUUGAUCUUGGGGUCAUGAGUUCAAGCCCCAUGCUGGGUA
rnacentral:tRNA from 1 species